AAGUUGAUAAAUAACGUUACCGAGGAUGGUGCUGCCAUCUAUCGUCCGGGAUGUCAUGAGAAAUGCAGGACAUAUUGAAAAAAGAAAAGAUUUGCAAGUCUCCUGUUGGCACCACAGAGAUUGUACCCAGUUUUAACAAAGAUAUACGCCUCCUGUCGAUGAUUCACUCUGUAUUAAUGGUUAACUACACUACACUCUGCUCGCUAAAGUGCUUGCAGUUGUAGCUGUAAGGACCUUUUGAAAGCUAAUAAGAGCUCCUGGAGCAAGUUGUGUGCAAGAACAGUGGUGCUGCUGUGAAUAAGCCAUGAAAGUGAGUGACACACAGCUCCAUUUUCAGUGGCAGGUCCUUAACUGCCUGAUUGCCACUGUGAAGCUCAGGAAUUUCCUUACGCUGACUUUCCUGCAUGGCAAAGGCACAGCACUGAUUCCUUCCCUGCUGAACCAGCAAAUCCUUGGGAGACAGACAGGAGGUCUUCUCCUCCCUUAGCAGUACAAAAUGAGCAGCACAGCAGCUCUCUGUAAUGGACCCCGGGGCUCAUGGAGGAGCAGGUAGAAAAGAGCGGACACACACGUCUGAUGAGCCUGAAGAUGUUACACCGUCCACUCUCCACGCAACAUUUGAGUGAAUGUGGUGGAUCACACUUAAGUGAAUUCUGUUGGAGUUAUAAGCUGGAAAAUCCAUCGGCAGCCAGGAGAGGAUGCACGGUGGAGGCAGAGGGCUGUUGUUUGGUAGCAGUAGCUGCAGUGGUUUCCCCCGUGACUUUGAUUAUGUCCCGGUUUGGGCACCAGGCCAAAGGCAGAGCUGGCUUCAUUACUGUAUGGAUCAUCUUUUAAGAUCAUUUAAGAU
rnacentral:lncRNA from 1 species